GGCCACCUCGUGUUACAAUCCUUCCUUUAUGAAAAUUUCUGACAGACUGAGAAAAUGAACGUGACCACAAGGGAAAGUGAAUCCUACUGAUUUCUGGAAUGUUCCGGACCUCCAGUAAUUUAGCCUUAGGCCACUGGGAAGAAGCAAGACGCCCUCUUCUGGUGUAUCUGUGUAGAAGAAACUCCUACAAAGCAAAUAAUGCCUUCCUGGGCAAGAACAGAGCAUGUGAAAAA